GCAGCAGCCGCGGGAAUACGGAGGGUGCAAGCGUUAUCCGGAUUUAUUGGGUUUAAAGGGUCCGUAGGCGGAUCUGUAAGUCAGUGGUGAAAUCUCACAGCUUAACUGUGAAACUGCCAUUGAUACUGCAGGUCUUGAGUAAAUUUGAAGUGGCUGGAAUAAGUAGUGUAGCGGUGAAAUGCAUAGAUAUUACUUAGAACACCAAUUGCGAAGGCAGGUCACUAAGAUUUAACUGACGCUGAUGGACGAAAGCGUGGGGAGCGAACAGGAUUAGAUACCCCCGUAGUCCCUGUCUCUUAUAA
rnacentral:rRNA from 1 species